CUACGGGCUGCUGCAGCUAAGAAUCUUCCGCAAUGGACGCAAGUCUGACGGAGCGAUGCCGCGUGGAUGAAGAAUGUCGAGAGAUUGUAAAAUCCUUUUAUGAGUGAGGAAUAAUAGUACUAGGAAAUGAGUAUUAGAUGACGUUAGCUCAUGAAUAAGCUCCGGCGAAUGUACGUGCCAGCAGCCGCGGUAACACGUAAGGAGCGAGCGUUGUUCGGAAUUAUUGGGCGUAAAGGGCGUGUAGGCGGUUAGUUAAGUCUUCUUUGAAAGACCGGUGCUCAACACCGGAACCGGGGAGGAAACUGAGUAACUAGAAUCCGGUAGGGAAAUGUGGAAUUCCUAGUGUAGGGGUGAAAUCUGUUGAUAUUAGGAAGAACACCAAUGGCGAAGGCAACAUUUUGGGCCUGGAUUGACGCUGAGGCGCGAAAGCAUAGGGAGCAAACAGGAUUAGAUACCCUCGUAGUC
rnacentral:rRNA from 1 species